rnacentral:rRNA from 1 species
UCUUCCUACGGGGCGCAGCAGUGGGGAAUAUUGCACAAUGGGGGGAGCCCUGAUGCAGCGACGCCGCGUGAGUGAAGAAGUAUUUCGGUAUGUAAAGCUCUGUCAGCAGGGAAGAAGAAAGACGGUACCUGACCAAGAAGCCCUGGCUAACUACGUGCCAGCAGCCGCGGUAAUACGUAGGGGGCAAGCGUUAUCCGGAUUUACUGGGUGUAAAGGGAGCGUAGACGGCAGAGCAAGUCUGGAGUGAAAGGCAGGGGCCCAACCCCUGGACGGCUCUGGAAACGGUCCGGCUGGAGGGCAGGAGG